CCUACGGGUGUCAGCAGUGAGGAAUAUUGGUCAAUGGUCGGGAGACUGAACCAGCCAAGCCGCGUGAGGGAGGAAGGUACAGAGUAUCGUAAACCUCUUUUGUCAGGGAACAAAGGCGGGGACUUGUCCCCGGCUGAGUGUACCUGAAGCAAAAGCAUCGGCUAACUCCGUGCCAGCAGCCGCGGUAAUACGUAGGAUUCGAGCGUUAUCCGGAUUUAUUGGGUUUAAAGGGAGCGUAGGCCGCAUGUCAAGCGUGCUGUGAACUGUCCGGGCGCAACCCGGGCCUUGCCGCGCGAACUGGAGUGCUUGAGUCCGCGGAAAGCAGGCGGAAUUCGUCGUGUAGCGGUGAAAUGGUUAGUGAGGACGAAGAACCCCGAGUGCGAAGGCAGCUUGCUGCAGCGGAACUGACGCUGAUGCACGAAAGCGUGGGUAUCGAACAGGAUUAGAUACCCCAGUAGUC
rnacentral:rRNA from 1 species